rnacentral:rRNA from 1 species
AACGAACGCUGGCGGCAGGCCUAACACAUGCAAGUCGAGCGCACCUUCGGGUGAGCGGCGGACGGGUUAGUAACGCGUGGGAACGUGCCCUUCUCUACGGAAUAGCCUCUGGAAACGGAGAGUAAUACCGUAUACGCCCUUUGGGGGAAAGAUUUAUCGGAGAAGGAUCGGCCCGCGUUAGAUUAGGUAGUUGGUGGGGUAACGGCCUACCAAGCCUACGAUCUAUAGCUGGUUUUAGAGGAUGAUCAGCAACACUGGGACUGAGACACGGCCCAGACUCCUACGGGAGGCAGCAGUGGGGAAUCUUAGACAAUGGGGGCAACCCUGAUCUAGCCAUGCCGCGUGAGUGAUGAAGGCCUUAGGGUCGUAAAGCUCUUUCGCCUGUGAUGAUAAUGACAGUAGCAGGUAAAGAAACCCCGGCUAACUCCGUGCCAA